UACGUAGGGUGCAAGCGUUGUCCGGAAUUAUUGGGCGUAAAGGGCUCGUAGGCGGUCCAUCGCGUCGGGAGUGAAAAGCUGGGGCUCAACCCCAGUCCUGCUUCCGAUACGGGUGGACUAGAGGUAUGCAGGGGAGAACGGAAUUCCUGGUGUAGCGGUGAAAUGCGUAGAUAUCUGGAGGAAUACCGGUGGCGAAGGCGGCAUCCUGGACCGACAUUGACGCUGAGGAGCGAAAGCUAGGGGAGCAAACGGG
rnacentral:rRNA from 1 species